rnacentral:tRNA from 1 species
AUUUAUAUAGUUUAAAAAAACAUUACAUUUUCAUUGUAAAAAUAAAACUAGAUUUUUAUAAAUA